rnacentral:rRNA from 1 species
AGGAUAAACGCUGGCGGCGUGCCUAACACAUGCAAGUCGAACGCGCUUUCGGGCUUCGGUGCGAGAGCGAGCGGCGGACGGGUGAGUAACACAUGGGUACCUACCUUGGAGUGAGGGAUACCGGCGAGAAAUCGCCGACAAUACCGCAUAGGCUUCUUCACAAGGGAAGCAAAGUGACGCGAGUCACGCUUUGAGAUGGGCCUGUGGCCGAUUAGCUAGUUGGGGGGGUAACGGCUUCCCAAGGCGACGAUCGGUAGCUGGUCUGAGAGGACGAUCAGCCACACUGGGAUUGAGAACGGCCCAGACUCCUACGGGGGGCAGCAGUGAGGAAUUUUCCGCAAUGGAGGCAACUCUGACGGAGCAACGCCGCGUGCAGGAGGAAGGUUUUCGGAUCGUAAACUGCUUUUCUCGGGGACGAGCAAGGACGGUACCCGAGGAAGAAGCCCCGGCUAACUACGCGCCAGCAGCCGC